GGGUCAGUAGGUUGGUCGUGCCACCGGUACGUACUGGUCUCACUGAUUCCUCCUUCCUGAAGAACCGUAAUGCCAUUAAUUUGGUGUUGCGGGGAAACAGGACUGUUACUUUGAAAAAAUUAGAGUGUUUAACGCAAGCUAGCGCUUGAAUACAUUAGCAUGGAAUAAUGAAAUAGGACGAUCGAUCCUAUUUUGUUGGUUUCUAGGAUUGACGUA
rnacentral:rRNA from 1 species